rnacentral:lncRNA from 1 species
AAAAAUGUUCGAACCAAAGCAAAAAUAAGAACCUAAAGUAGAAAUGAACUGUUUUGAAAAAAGUGCAAAACAGGGGGAACAUUGAACAGUACUACGUAAUUCACAUUUGAAAUUUGGAACCAUUUUUGACUGAUUAAUAUGGCCGCAGAAGCAAAUAAGAUCCGCAGGUACUCUCUUUCUUCUUCUUCUUUCUCUGAUUCCAUCUCCGUUAUUCUAACGCCGUUAUCUCACUCUGCAAACUUUUCAGUCGAAUUUCAGAGAUUCACAACUUCAUCAAAAACGACGAAAAAGAAUCAA